AUUGCUGAUUCAGAAGUUGAAUUCAUGAAGUUGAGGAUGGAGAAUACUUUGAAAAGAAUAAUCCAAACAAUUAUCAUGAACAACUCCUUUAGUGUUGAAAUGCCCAAAUCAAAGCCUUUUCUCAGGAAAUACUUUCACAGGAGGGAAAAUCAUCAAGGAAACUAAAAAGGGAACAGUUGUGACAUCAGGACAAGGAAACUUGCCCUAAUCAUGUCAAAGCUAUCUUGGAUUGUGAAAGAGCACUGUUAUUACAGUAACAUUGAACCACGAAAAAUAGGUGAUCAGAAAAGAUCAUUUCAGAAUUUAUUAAAGAUGUGUAUUAUUGUUCUCAAUUGCACUAACACUGAUUCAAGUGUUGACCCUGCUCUUCUACCAGGAAUCUUGGUGCCAUCAACAACUGAUCUAUUAGGGAAUAUCAAUCGCAUCCAUGACAUCA